rnacentral:rRNA from 1 species
CAGUCGCCACGGUAAUACGAGGGGGGCAAGCGUUGUUCGGAAUUAUUGGGCGUAAAGGGUGCGUAGGCGGUUUCGCAAGUCUUGUGUGAAAUCUAUGGGCUCAACCCAUAGUCUGCACAGGAAACUGCGAGGCUUGAGGAUGGGAGAGGUGAGUGGAAUUUCCGGUGCAGCGGUGAAAUGCGUAGAUAUCGGAAGGAACACCUGUGGCGAAAGCGGCUCACUGGACCAUUUCUGACGCUGAUGCACGAAAGCUAGGGGAGCAAACAGGAUUAGAUACACCAGUAGUCCCUGUCUCUUAUAC